GUGGGUAGUUUGACUGGGGCGGUCUCCUCCUAAAGAGUAACGGAGGAGCACGAAGGUUAGCUAAUCCUGGUCGGACAUCAGGAGGUUAGUGCAAAGGCAUAAGCUAGCUUGACUGCGAGAGUGACGGCUCGAGCAGGUGCGAAAGCAGGUCUUAGUGAUCCGGUGGUUCUGAAUGGAAGGGCCAUCGCUCAACGGAUAAAAGGUACUCCGGGGAUAACAGGCUGAUACCGCCCAAGAGUUCAUAUCGACGGCGGUGUUUGGCACCUCGAUGUCGGCUCAUCACAUCCUGGGGCUGAAGUAGGUCCCAAGGGUAUGGCUGUUCGCCAUUUAAAGUGGUACGCGAGCUGGGUUUAGAACGUCGUGAGACAGUUCGGUCCCUAUCUGCCGUGGGCGCUGGAGAAUUGAGGGGGGCUGCUCCUAGUACGAGAGGACCGGAGUGGACGCAUCACUGGUGUUCGGGUUGUCAUGCCAAUGGCAUUGCCCGGUAGCUAAAUGCGGAAGAGAUAAGUGCUGAAAGCAUCUAAGCACGAAACUUGCCCCGAGAUGAGUUCUCCCUGAGACUUUAAG
rnacentral:rRNA from 1 species